GUGGCCGGGAGGGCUGGCCUAAUGGCCUCCUCGCAUGCCGUUAUUCCACCUCUGUAUGUCUGAGCAAUUUUCAACUUGGCAGGAAGGGAGCUGCGCGGAAAUUUGCGUAAGCCUUGAUAAAUAUUUUAUGCAAAUUAAAAUUGAAUUCUUUGCUUAGUUUAAGCAAUUUCCCUGUAAGGAGUGUGUCGAGGAGAGAGAUUACAACAUUUGCCUGGUUUGUUUAUAAUUUAAUUUUUUUUUUUAUGUUGCGGCUGGCAGAGGAGGAGAUGCAACACCUGUGAGUGUUUAUAACGUCCCAUCUCCUUCACAGCUGCUCCUAUUCAAAACACCUCGCCGGCGUAAUAAUUUCAUAAAAUUUCAUGAUUUACCAUCUGCUCGUGCCGGUUUGGGCUUCGGCAAUAAGCUCGUGCGUGGCGCCCGGCCCAGAAAGGUACAAUAACUGUAUAUUUUAACUUAAUGGUUUUUUGGGGGGCAUGCAAAUUUCUGUGAGCAGAUUGUGCUGAGGCCUGGGCUUGGAGCGGCCUCCCUGAGCCCCAGAAGCCCCCCGGAGCACCCCCGGCUCAGUGAAGGUUGCCCGUGUCAAAAUCGAGAUAUCAAACACCAAGGCUGAAAGACAAGGUAGGAGGUACAAGAAGAUUAUUUUCCUUUUAGCGUUUGAUGUCUGUGCAUUUGGGUAAUUAAAAUGAUUACUACAACAAUUAAAGCAAGUAAUUAGAAACUAAUUACACCAGCAUUUUUUGUGAUUACAGGAGCAGAUGAAAAUAGUGUUCAAAAUUAAAUUCAUUGCAUAUUCAUGGGAAUGAAAUUAAAUACUGCUGGGUGGAUGAGAUAAUCGGAGGAGAGGAGAGGCAUUCUGGGGAUUCGGAGAACAGACUGCGGUUAAUACUCCAAACAGACAUUUGGUUAAAUCAGUGAUAAUCUUUUAAUGGCUUUAAAAGGGGCUAAUAUUUGGAAAGCAGUCAAAAUUGCUGAGAGUUUCUGUUUCUCACUCACUCUGUGAUAAUACAUACCAGCUGCAGCACAAUGGAGAACAUUUAAUCAUUAGCCACUCAAAUGGAGGCACAGGAGCCAGCGUCUCCCCGCCUCUCCUGGUGUCUCAUGCACGACAAUAAAUUAAAUUAAAGAAUCUUAGCCUCGAUUUCUUCCCUCCCCCACACCCCCCCUUCUUUCCCAGGCUAUUGACUACUUCCCAGCCACUGCCUUGCCACGACCAUUUAAUGAGAUCCCGUAGAUUAAAUAGAUUUUCUGUUUAACUCCACACUGGUGAGAUGGCGUGUCAGCGACGGGAUGGCUAUUAACAUUUAAAUAUUUCACAGAACAAAAAAAAAAUCGGAAUAUGAAUUUUUCAUUGUUGCGGACGCUCCCUCCCUCCCCCUCCCUCUCUCUCUCCCUCUCUUUUUCACGGUGCUCUCUCUCUCCUCUCUCUCUCUCUCUCUCUCUCUCUCUCUCUCUCUCUCUCUCUCCCUUUCUCUGCUAGACCUAAUGAAACUAAAGUAAUUAGAAAGAUACAAGAAGAGGGCUUUCACCAGAGUGCAAUUAAAUUGAGCGGGGAGCCGUUAUUUAUAUAGGCUGGUCACUCCGUAGCCGUGGCUAUUUUCUCAGCCUGCUUGAGUCAUAGAUUAUUACAAGAGAUUAAUAAUGUAAAUUUCACUGACUCGGCUGCUCUCCGAGCCUUGGCCUUCAGAAAUUGAUGGGCGCGCCAUCCAUCACCUCCUCUGGUCCAGGCCUGUCCCUCUGCAGGGCUCACCAGCCCCUGCACCCCACCUUGAGCUCGCCGGCUCCCCAUCCUGUUCCCGCGUUGCCUGGGCCCCUGCUUUCUUUCUCUUUUUUAUUGGGAGGGGGGUAUUUCUCUGUAGCUUUUUUGUUUUUGUUUUUGUUUUUUUAAUUUAUUUAUCUCUCAGUUCCUUCAGUGCUAGCCCUGUUUAAUUUCUGGCUGAUUUUUUUUAAAGGGGCUCUAUACAACGCUAUGGCUCCCCACGCCCCAGUAUCUGAGAAGGGGUCGGUAGUCGGUGGACUAAAGGCACAAUUUGUCAAUGGUCUCCUCUCCCCUGAUUCUCCCUCUGGGACCACUGUCUGUACAUCUGUCUGUCUGGUCACCCAUGCGUCCAUUUUCCACACUUCUUGGGGGGCACAUGCAUGUCUGUUCCCCACUGCCUUUCUAGCCACAAGAGGAUGGAGCUGAGACUAGGGUCCUCGGUGGUUUCCUAGUGCUGUGACCUUGGCUUGGAGCCUUCUGACCCUCAUCCACUAAGGAGAGGUAAUAAAUCAGCUAUUACAGAAUCUGCGGGCAGAGCAGGAGGAGGUCUAGGUUCGCAGAGGGGACGUGCUGGUGAAGAAGUGUGCCCUCCCUCACCUCUAUCGGCACUCACAGUAUGUCCCUCCCACCAUCCUUCUCAGCCAUAGAGCAUCCUGUCAACCGGUUGCAUUGUGAGGAGUGGUGGCUAGAGCCUGGAGUGAGAAGGGGUGAGGUCAAAGGAGGAAGAGGUCCCCAAGGCAGGUCUCUGGUGCAUCUCAGCCGUACCUGCCCAGCGUGGGAGUGCCUUCAUUGUAUGGCUGGGGAAGCUGCUCAAAAUGUGCCCAGACAAGGCGUUCUGAGGAGCCAAGAGGGCUGGCUUUCAAAACAAUUAGCGCCAGCCUCUGCCUGAGCACCCAUGCUGGUUUUGUAUAAUUAAAACAAGGCUCCAGAAUCCCACUGGACACUCUUUAAAAACGACUCAUUUUCAGCAUUAUUUACAAUGAUGAGUUGAGGGGAGGGAGACUCCUGGACCCCUCCAGCUGCCCCCGGGGAGAGGCCUGGUGCCUCCAUUACCAGAUGGGCCUCCUGGCUUCGACUCUCUUCCUAAUCGGUGGUCCCAGCACUCAGGGUGGGCCUGAGAGCACUGUGGCCCUUCUUUAUGUGCAUGAGGACAGCUCGCUAUGGUCCUCCAUUAUCUGCCAGGGGUGGGUCUUGUUGGCUCAGCCAGGGAUGUAGAGAUAGACUUUGGAGGAGGUAGGAUGGGGAAGGAGUGGACCAUGAGUCCCCUUGAGUUCUAGGGAGUAGAACUAAAAUUUUAAUGAUUUACGUAUUUGUAUGGGUGUUCUGACUGUAUGUAUGUCUGGGCAACAAGUUCAUGUCUGAUACCUGCAGAUGUCGGAAGAGAGCAUUGGAUCCCCUGGGACUGGGAUUCAAUGUUGAGUCACCAUGUGAGUGCUGAGAACCAAACCCAAGUCCUCUGCUGGAUCGUGCAACCCAGAGGGAGUCUCAUAUAUAAUCUAUACAGUAUGCUAGGUAAGCACUUCACCACUGAGCCAUCUCCCAGCCCUCAAGAUCUUAUUCUUAGUUUAAGAGAUGAUGUGUUUGUGGCCAGUCUGGUCUAUAUAGAGUUUCAGGCCAAUCAUGGCUAUAGAGUGAGCCCACGGGGGUGGGAGGAAUGUGCAUCCUCUUCAGUCUCCUCUGGUGGGAGAAGGGAUAUGUCAGAGAUGGGAGUCAGUUGCCCUGUGCCAGAGCAGGACAGGCGGUCCACUGGGGCCUGGGUUUGGGGGGCAGUGCAGGCAGUAUAAACACACCCAGAGUCACAUGUGUGACCCAUAACCUUCACGACCUUGGAAGGUUUCCUCCCCUCCUCGAAGGCUGACUGCGAUGCCUCGUCAGGAUAAUGGGGAAGGGAGCUGCAAGAGAUUGUGUGAUCUGUUCUUAGGCACACACGAAGUGACCCAAACAGUAAAUGUAUAUUGUGGUGUCUAGUAAUACGUAACUUAUCAUUCAGUGUUACCCCACACUCCUUUGUUGUAAAAUUCAGACAUCAUCUAUUCCAAAUUCCCCACAACGGUGCCUGAUAUGUGUUGGACACUUAAUAAACACAGAUUAUUUCUGUUCCACGAAACGUAUAUUUAUUGAUGUAUUCACACACACACAAACACACACACACACACACACACACACACACACACACACACACACACACACCCGCCCCCAAAUAAUCCAGAAGGAAAAGUUCCAGCAUUUCUGCAGUGAUCUUUUUUUCCCCCGGAGUAAGAGGAUUGGGGGAUAAUUCUUCUCUGUGGUUUUCCAUUUUUUUAUCUUUAGUGGAGGAGGUGUCAGUUCUGCCAUAGGCUGGCAGAGUAAAAAACAAGGCUAGAAACAAUGGGAGCAGCAGCAAAUGGUGACCGUGGCCUGUAGGAUUUCCCUGCUGUCCUCAGCUGUCACUUCCUAUGGAGUGCUUUGUUUCCUGGAGUGAGAAUGGUCCAGAGAGAUGGGGCCACACAGGAGCCCUGACACAGUCUUGGGGGGUUGGGAGUUUCCUCUUGACUUCAUCCGAGGGGUGUCUACAGCUGGGCUAUGACCCCAGGAUCUGCCUGACACUUGCUUAAAGUGUGUGUGUGUGUGUGUGUGUGUGUGUGUGUGUGUGUGUGUGUGUAGGGAGGGGGGACCCUCUCAAUAAGCCACCAGGUCUUGGGGUUCCAAAGCCUCAGUUAUACCCCAGUUUCUUCACUCCAACCCCAGCACCGGGCCCACCACUUCUGGCCCAUUGGCUUACAGAAGCCAGAGACAAUAGAAGCCGCAUGUAACCACUGUUUACAGGGGGGAAAAAAAAGUACAAGAUUUAUUUAUUGGAAAGUGACUGAGGAAUAUGAAUUCUACACUCCAUUUAAAAUGCUUUUUAUUUCUCUCAGCCUUGGGGCUCAGAGUACAUCUAAUUCCACCCUCGGCUAUAAUUCUCUACCAAACAGUUCCUGCUGUUUCUCUGGGGUCCCCAGGAACUGAGUUAGUUUAUGUCUGCUACUGACGAGGCUCAGACAGGGGCAGCAGCGGCUACACGCCAGCGUGUGUGUGUGUGUGUGUGUGUGUGUGUGUGUGUGUGUGUGUGUGUGUGUAGCCUCCUUUCCCCGCUGCCCCUGCACAAAUAUUCUGCACAUGUGCACAGUGGGCCAGCACCCAGGCUGAGGCCUUUGGGGGUACCCAUGGUACCAGGCCUUGCAAUGGCUUGGGCUCCAGCAGCUGAGUAAACCAUAUCUCAUACUGGCCGUGUUGAUUGCUGGAACCUUAGCGCUAACAAUUAGUUUGUUAGUGUAUUUAUCCUGUGAACACUGAAGUCCGUGAUUGCAGACCCAAUAGUGGGAUAGUGGUGGCGUUUAGAGAUAAAUCUGUUCUGGGUUAGGAGGUGUCAGCAAUGGGAGGGGGUGGGAGACCCCCACGGGGAAUGGCUUUGCCUGCCCGUGCCUCCAUCUGUUUUUUUUUUCUUUCCAGCUGCUUGCUGCCCCGUUAUCUGUUGGUCUGCUUGCCCAACAGAUCGAGAAGCAUCUACCAGUUUGCCUACUUGUGAACUUAGCUCAUCCUUGUAUCUCAGGCCCUGGAGUUACAGGGAACACAAGGGGCGCUGAGUGGCCAGACCACACAGGACCUUCUUGGAGACACAGCCAGAGCAUGAAUGGAGGGAAUGGUGUAGAAGCUUCCAGAAAAAAACAAAAAAACAAAAAAAACAAACGAUAACACCAAAAACAAAACAAAACAAAACAAAAAACCCACCAAAAACCAAAAACAAACAACAACAACAAAACAAACAAACAAACAAACAAACCAACAAACCAACAUAACUAGUUCUGUCUAGUGGUGGGUCCUGACCUGCAACCACAUUUUCUGAAUUCACCAUUUGUUUUGUUGCUGCAACAAAAUACCUUUUCAAAAACAAGUUUCAAGAGGGAAGGGUUUAUUUAUGCUCACAGUUUGACAGAACAGUCUGUCAUGGCAGGCAAGGCACAGUGACAGGAAUGUGAGGAAGCUGCUAGCAUUGCAUCUACAGUCAGGAAGCAGGAGGGUGGAUGCUGGUGUUCAGCUCUCUUCCCCCUCUUUAUGCUGUCUAGGACUCCAGCCUGUGAAAUGGUGCUACCCACAUUUAAGAUGGGUCUUCUCGCCUCAACUACCCUGAUUGGGAAAUGGCCUCAGCUAAGCCCAAGGCUCAGUAUUGAAUCGUCAUGUCCAAGUAUCUUUGGCCUUUAUGGUAUUUUCCCUUAGGACCCUCCCUUAUGGUCUCUCCAUUGGGGCUGGAGGCACCCAUCCCUUCAGCUCCUUCAACCACCCAGUAAAACCAGCUGCCAAUCUGUGGAAGACACCUCUUCUCUUCUCUCUGUCCCUCAGACAUUCUGCGUUUCCCUUCUCUGUGUCUAAGCUUUAGCCUUCCUGGACUUGUCUCUUCCAGCAUCUCCCAGGUCCAUCCUCCUCAGCUGGCUUCUUUUUUUUUUCUUUUCUUUUUUUUCGGAGCUGGGGACCGAACCCAGGGCCUUGCGCUUGCUAGGCAAGCGCUCUACCACUGAGCUAAAUCCCCAGAUCCCUCAGCUGGCUUCUUGAAGAGCCAUUCCUGAACUGGUUCUCCACCCUCUGCUUCUCUGGGUACCCUUCAUCUGCCUGGGGGAGCUGUUCUCAUACCCCUUCUUCCUCCUCAUGGUUCCUAUGUCUUUGCCUUCAGCCUAGAAGCUCUAUGAACCUGGGAUCCAAGAUCUUCUUCCCUCUGUGCCCCUAAGCCCAGGUCCCCGCAGUCCCACCCAAGCAUUAUCAGCAGGGACCUGGGAAGAGUUGAGCCUCCUUCACCUCCAGCCAGAGAGUGACUGGCUGACUGGCUCUCCUCCCAGACAGUCCUGGAAUCAGACCUGCCUGGGCCAAGUAACUACCCUGACAGUGUGUCUACAGAGCUUCCAACUGGCCUCAAAGCUACAAGUGACUUUCCAUAAAUAGCCCCAAGAAAGUUACUCUUUCCAGUUAGGGUUGAUGGUAGAUUUAAUGAGAGCAGGAGCUUAUCAGAGGCCCCUGUUCAUUCCAGCAACAGACACUUCUCCUGCUCUUUCUUUUUUCCUCCCUGGCCUCCUCUUUUUUUUUUAAAGAUUUAUUUAUUUCAUGUAUAUUAGCACACUGUAGCUGUCUUCAGACACACCAGAAGAGGGCAUUGGAUCCCAUUACAGAUGGUUGUGAGCCACCAUGUGGGUGCUGGGAAUUGAACUCAGGACCUCUGGAAGAGCAGACAGUGCUCUUAACCGCUGAGCCAUCUCUCCAGUUCCACCCGAUGCUCUUGCAUAACAUUCUUUUUGUUCUUUUGGAGGUUUUGAGACUGGCUGUCAUGUAGCUCAGGUUAGCCUCAACUUCACUACUAGCUUAAGAUGGCUUUGAAUGCCUGAUCCUCCUGCUUCUGUCCCCCAAGGGCUAGGAGGAAGGGUGCAUUGUCCCACUUCUCGUGUGUAAUUUUCACAAGAACAAGGUAAAGUGAGCAGUGCCCAUGAAAAGACACGGACCAUGAGACCCAAGGGAUUUGGAUACACACCUGAGGUCACAGAGUCCUAGGUGGUGCAGUUAGCAGUUCAGGGUGAGACCCUGUGACUGUCAGACUCUGCCUUCACUGUGUGUCCCUGACGGGCUCAUGGGCCCCUGAGCUAGCCUGGCUCAGGGCCUGUGGAUUGUUUGCCUGAGUGGCAGCCCAGGCUCUUGGGGGCUCUUGGGGCUCCCUAGGUUACUGAAGGAGAACUAACCUUAACUCUCUUAAUGGCCAGUCUUUUCUCUCUUCUUUUAUUAAAAGAUGUGAUUCGUCUGCCAUUAAAUUGACACCUUUACAUGUAUAGUGCAGUGUUUCUUAGAUAGAAGCCGGCCAUGUGACCAGAACCACUGUCUAUACAGACUGAUUCCCCCAAACACACCCUCAAACCCUACAAAGCCUCCCUCCUUAGCCCCUGGCAGCCACUCAUCUGCUUCCUGUCCCUCUGGACUUGUCUUCCUGGGCAUUUCAUGUGGCCUUUUGUACAAGCAUUUACUGGCUUGGUGUUUUUCUUCAAGUUUAUCCACAUUUGGCUGGCUUCCCUGUUCCUGUGCCACCAGAGGGAUCUGAGCCCAGUAAGGAACUCCCUAGAGCUGGGCAUAGCCACUGUACACACACAUGGUUGUCUGCUCUUGGAUCCAUUGACUCUGUGCUGUUUCCACUUUUGGCUACGUUGACACGUCUGGAGGAGCCCAGACAAAAGCUAUCCUCACUCACCUCUUUUAUCAUUGGGAAUAUUGAGGCGCAAUGGGGUUAGGACAUUGCCAGUGUGGGGCAGGCUUAGAUUUGAACUCCAAAAAUCCUGCAAUUUCAUUUCCAAUGUCCUGGCUUUACCUGGCCUGGUAAAACUUGUGGGACAAAGGAAGGCAGGAGAAAGAGAGGCAAGGGAAGGCUCUGGCUCCUGCAGAAUUCUAGAAGUUCUAGAUCAGUUUGUUCUGUUGGCUACUUGGCUGCUCUCAAGAGGGCGGGGGUUGCAGAUGGUUUCCUCACUGGGCUCAGAUCCCUCUGGUGGCACAGGAAUCCUGGAUCUGAGAGAUGGAGUCCUUCUCUACUGGACAGGUGGGGAAAUUCUGGCAGGACCAAUGACAGGCCCAAGUCAGAAAACUAGGGCUUGAAUUUAUGUCUGUUUACAUGUGAAGUGUGUGUGUGUGUGUGUGUGUGUGUGUGUGUGUGUGUGUGUGUGUGUGUAUGUCUCUGACUCUCUGUCUCUGUUUGUUUGUCCAUCUGUCUCUCGUUUGUUUGUUUGUUUUUUUUUUUUUUUGAGACAGGGUUUCUAUAUAUGCCUCUGGUUAUCCUGAAACUCUCUCUGUAGACCAGGCUCCACCCUCUGCCUCUAGAAUGCUACCAUCAAAGGCGUGCACCACCGCUACUCAGUGAGAGUUCAUCUCAACCAAAGGGAAAGGUAUCCCAGGGUGGAGUGAUGUUUACUGAGUGCCCAAUAAGGUUGAUGCCCACCUAAUGGCAGCAUCACUAGUAAGAACAGAGGCAGUGGGGUAAAGAGGCAUCUCUGUCUCCGGAGAUGGAAACAGCUUCCCUGGGGGUCCUUUGCCUGGUGUGUGAGGGUGAGCACGGAGCAAAUGAUUCACAAGCGUGUGUGAGGUCAUACUGUGUCCCACCCCCUGCCAGCCUUACACUCAUGCACUAGGACGAGGACAUUGCUGUUAUCACCACCUCUGGUUCGCGGUUGUUUCCCACCCUGUGUAAUCCCUGCCCUGAGCUCUUCCUAACCAUCCACUCAUUGAAUCUUUACCUCGUCCCCCUGAGAUAGGUUAGAUUUUAUUAUUCCAUUUUACAGCUGAGAAUAUUUUGGCCCAGAGAGAUUAAUAACACGUACAAAGGCUCACAGCGAAUAAAUUAAGGGACUUGGAUUUGAAUAGAAGCAGUCGGCCUCUCAAACCCAUGCCUUUGGUGAGCACUGGAUUUUAUUGCUUCUACCUGGAUGCGCUGUCUAGAGUCAGGACAAUUGAUGAGCAGAGCCCUGUGGGGUCUGAGGAAGUCUGUCAUGGGGACAGACUCUCAGCUAACAUGGCCCAGGAGGAGCCCCGGCUCCUUCCUCUUCAGUCAUCUUUGACAAAGCAUUGUCUGGCAUAAAUUGUCUGUUUAGUUGUAUUUCUUUUCUGUCAAUCUUUGGGAUUCCUGAGGGUAAGGACCUUGCUUGGCUAACCUUGCAUGCCUCGCUCCUAGCAUAUUGUCGAGCUUGUAGCAGGGAUCACAUCAGCCGCAGUUUGUUACUGAUGUUCUGUUCCUCGCAUGUGCUGGGGCCAGCCACUGCCUUCUCGGUAAGAACCUGCUUCUGGGAAGAGAGGAUCAUGAGCUACUCUGCAUAUCCAGGUCCUGAGGCUGGGCUGUUUCAGAAUCUCUGUCUUUUCCUUCUGUGAGUCAGAAGUACUCUCGCUCAGUUACCUCCUCCACAAACCUGCCCCCACCUUGGAAAGAAGCUGGAAGCUCCUCAUGCAGAUGUCAAGGGAGACAACCCCAGGAGCUCACAGGAUUGGUUCAAAUGAGUGUGAGGGAUAGGCAUCUCACUGCAGAGGCAGGCUGGCUAGGCUUCCACUGGCAGCAUAGCUAUCUUGGUCACGACCCUAACUCUGUGGAGAGACCCCACGAUCAAGUCACCUCUUAUAAAAGGGAGCAUUUGCUUGGGGGCUGGCUUACAGUUUCAGAGGUUAAUUUUAUUGUCAUCAUGGUGGAGAAUAUGGUGGCUGUCAGACAGGCUAAAGAAGUAUCUGAGAGCUACAUUCUCAUCCGUGGGCAGGAGAGGGGGAGAGAGAGAGAGAGAGAGAGAGAGAGAGAGAGAGAGAGAGAGAGAGAGACAGAGAUACUGGGCCAGUUGUAAAUUAAAGCCCACUUCCCAAUGACACAUUUCUUCCCUUCCUCCAACAAGGCCACACCUCCUAAUCCUUCUCAAGUAGUGCCACUCCUUGAUGAUUAAGCACUCAAAUAUAUGUGCCUAAGUGGCACAUUUUAUUUAAACCACCACAAUGGCCAGUACCUGCUGUUCUGUGCUGAAGGUAGCUUUGAAGUUGAGCCUUUCAGCCAGGAGUCAAAACGAUGAAGAGGCCAGACUGAGGGAUUUGGGAUCAUGCAUGUGUUCACCACACAUUCACUGAGGCAUUUCUCUUAGGUGAUGGCACUGGGACAACAGCCACAUGCAUCUCAGAGAAGGAGUAUCUGGAGUUUUUAGUCUGGAUGUGAAGCCAUGAGGCAAGUCGUGACCAUGGGCUCUCCCUGGUUAAUUAUUCAGCCAAGGGCUGCCACCGUCACCAACACUGAACAGAAGCCAUGGCCAGAGAGGUGUCUUUGGAGAGAUGGACUUGGUGGUCUGAAGAUCCCUGAGCCGUGCAAUCUCUUACACACCUCAGUGGCUCUUCUCCUUCAUCCCAGCAUCCUUGAUGGUCCAAGUGGCUUGCAUACUGGGCUUCUGCCGUAGAACAAGGGAUUGCUCCGUGCAGCUUCUGGUUUGUGAACUGACAAGGACAGAACGCCUUCAGCCAGGUUUACAAAGCAUGUUGUUGCAGUGAAUGUUGCAGAAGCUGGUGGCUGAGAAUGGCUGGACUCUGUCUUCUCACAGUUCUGGGGUCCAGAAGUCUGCAGCGAAGGCUCCGGGCUGCUUCCCUCCUGCCUCUCCAUCUCCACACGAGGCCAGUGAUCUUCCGUACCUCAGCCGGGCUUGUGGCUGCACCCCUCCACUGUGCCUCUGAAGUCGGGUGGUCUCCUCGUCCCUUCUCCCCUUGUAAGACACUAGUGCAGCUGGAUGAAGGACCACCCACUCUGGUAAGACCUCAUCUUAAACUGAUCAUACCCACAAAGACCCAAUUUCCAAAUAAGGUCCCACUCGCAAACACACUGACACUGCCUUGUGGCUUUUUGUUAUUAGAGACAGGCUCUCACACUGCAGUAACCCAGGCUGGCUGGAGCUCACUAAAUAGCUCAGGCUGGCCAUAAACAGAAGGCUGCCUGCCUGUCUGGCCUUUAAUGUGUCUUCGUGUAUGUGUUCAUACUUGUAUAUCUGUGCUGCGAUGCCUAGCUCUAAUGGGGUUGAAAUCAGGCCCCUAUGCACUAUACUGACUGACCCAUCUCCCUGGAUUUUGGAGGAACAGAAUUUGAUACACAGCAUCUUCUAAUUACAUAGCUCCCUUGGGAAGUUAGUAGGGACCUUCUUCCCAAACCACCUUGGCACGGAAACCUGAGACCUAUCUCAGAAAUAACAUUAGGAGUGUGAGUAUCAAUUUAUUUUCUGUUGCUGUAAUAAAUGCCACAGGCAAAAAACAGCUUGGAGAAGGAAAGGGUCUGUCUGUCUCCCUAUCUGUCUGUCUGUCUGCCUGCCUGCCUAUCUACCUAUCUCCCAUCUAUCUAUCUAUCUAUCUAUCUAUCUAUCUAUCUAUCUAUCUAUCUAUCUCUCUAUCAUCUAUCUAUCUAUCACCAAGUCAGAGUCCAUCAUUGAGAAUUUCAGGGCAGGAGCUCAGCAGAAACCAUAGAGAAUGCUGCCUACAGGCUUGCUCUGCCAGCCAGCUUUCUUAUAUAACCCUGAGCCACUUAUUCAGGCAUGGCACCACCCACAGUGGAUAGGACCCUCCGACAUUAAUCAACAAUCUAUCUAGACAGUUCUCCACAGAUGGCUCAGCAGGCCACUGAGCCUGACACUUCCCAGAAUCCACCGAGCAGAAGGAGAAAACUGAUUCCUGCGAGUUGUUCUCUGAACUCUACACCUAGACUAGGGCGUGUGUGUAUGCACACACACACACACACACACACACACACACACACACACACACACACCUCAAACACACACACACCUCAAACACACACACACACACACACACACACACACCAAACAACAAUAAAAAGGAAACAGAGCCUGCAUUCCCAGGGUUGCUGUGAUGGUUAACUUUCAACAUCAAUUUGACUGUAAUGUCAUCUCUGGAGGCAUCUGUGAGAAUUUUUCAGAGAGUUAUAACUGAUGGAGACCCACCAUGAAUGAGGGCGGCACCAUGCUUAGGCUAUGGGUCUCCCCUGAAUAAAAAGGGAGAGACAAGGAGACAGUGUGGUGAACAUCACCGUUCAUUGCUCUCUGAAGGAGGAGUCCCAGCCCUAUAGGCCCACUGCUGUGACAGACUGUACCCUCGCAAGCCAUCAGUCCAAAUACACCGUUCUUCCCUUAAGCUGCUUCUGUUGUCAUAGCAACGAGCAAAGCAACGAGCACAGCUGCUCUACAGCUCAGAAAGUCACCACACGGAGGUGAGGGCUUCGCCUGAACUCAUGAAUCCAUCCUCAGAUAUUUACUGAAGACCUACUGUGUGCCGGGGAUGGCAAAUUUUGUGGGAUUGCCUCACGGAGGGGGACGUUUGCAGAUGGAUGGUUCUAGGAACUUCAGUAAGCUAUGACAACUGUUAUUCUAAAAUUUCACAGGAGUGAUUGAAUAUAAGUCAGGAGACCAGGACUUGGACUUGGGAAAUAAGAGGAGACCUAAGGGUUAUUCAGGAAUCGGGCUAAAAGGGAAGAUUAUGUCUAGAGUUCUAAUAGGUGUGGGCCAUGUGAAGGUUGGGGUCCAUGUGUGUUGAAGCCCUGAGACCGUGGGCACUCAUGGAAAUUGUGGGAUAGGGAAAUUGAAACUUGAGCAGAUGAUGACUGGAUGAUCCCUGAGGAUACGUCCAGGGAUGACUGAGCAGGGCUCCUCGUGGAGUCUGACCAGCCUUGGGGCAGCACCAUUGUCUAAGGCAAAUGAUGUGCGUCUGUGCCCUCAGCCCCAGUUGUUCCCAUCUCUUCAUCCUCUGUGGCCGUGACAGCAGCAUGAGAGACAUGGGACAUGGCAGCAAUGGGACACGGAGAAAAGAGCAAGUGGUACUAACCAGCUGAUCCAGUGGGGAAGGAAACGUUCAGGGUCCUUUAAGAUCUAGCCUCUCUUCCCAUCCACACAAUUUCACUUCUUUUCUACCUAGGAUUGGCAGAGAGACUAUGCAGGGCUAACCUUUCAAGUGAGUAGGCAAGGAGAGGUGGGACUGAAGACUUGUUCUGGGGUCGAAGUUGUCCCUGGACCCCAUGGGGUCUGGCUACUGUGACACAGUAAAGGCACUGAGGACCUGGGAUAGACAUGACACUUGAGCUGAUAGGAAACUCCAUAACCUCCAAGGUCCAGUGGGAGUGGAAGGAAAUUGAAGUUGAACAUGCUUGUGUGUGUGUGUGCGUGCAUGCGUGUGUGAUGGCUGGGACCUUAUGGUGGGCUAAAACAUGGGGGACUGUGCGCAGCCAUGAGAGGAAAGAGGAGGUGGGUGAAUGAGUUGAAGGCAGGAAUAGUGUUUUAGUUUGGGUUUUAUUGACACCAUGACCAAAGCUUAUAAAGGAAAACAUUUAAUUGAGACUGGUUCAGAGGUUCAGUCCAGUAUCAUCGUAGCAGGAAGUGUGGCAGGAGAGGCAGACAUGUAGUGACAUUCAUCUGCCUUGGCCCUCAUGUAGGAACAGAGACUUAGACCAAGUCUCAUGAGCUGGCUCUUCUCGCCAAGGAGGAAGGGGACACUGUCAUACCCUCCUAUGUAAGUAUUGGGAGCCCUCCAUUCAUCUCUCCCAGAUCAAGCAUGGAUGAACAUUGUUGAUAGUGGAAAUGCCCAGGACAGGUUUGGAUGCAGGUGCAACUGUAGAUAAUUUUGUAUAAUCAUGUCUUCAUGGUCAAGACCCAAGUCACGUAGUGCAUUGGUAAAGUGUGUGCUGGUGGCUCUGAAGCCAGAUGGUCAGGCUCUAAGCCCGUGCCACCAAGGAGGAGCAAUCUUAAAUUUGUAUACUUCUGUUCAUUCAUUUCUAAAGUGGGGACAGUAGCGGAGCCUACCUAUGGAAAGCUGAGGGAGGCCUCUGUCCCCUGUCCAUACAAUUUCACUUCUUUCCUACCCAGGAUUGGCAGAGAGACUAUGCAGGGCUAACCUUACAAGUGAGCAGGCAAGGAGAGGUGGGACUUGUUCUGGGGUCUGAAGGAAGCUGCUGUGGUUUGACAUGUGAUGUCUUAUAGGCUCCUGUAUUUGAACACUUGGUCCCCAGGUGGAGAUGCUGUUUUGGAAGCUUGCAGAGCCGCUAAGAGACCUCUAAGUCUUGCUGGAGGAAAUGGAUGUUUUACAACCCCACCCAAUUUCCUGGCUCCUUUCCUUCAUGAGUGUUGGUACAUUGUGACCAGCCACCUCUGUCCCUAGGAGGCCAGUGAUGGACCUAUGUGUGAAGGUAUCUGUGAGAGGAAACUUUAAACUUCAUAUUAUCCUAGGUUUCUUUUUUAAGACUUAUUUAUUUUUUAGCUGGGUGCAGUGACAGGUACCUUUAAUCCCAGCACUUGAGAGACAGAGGCAGGCAAAUCCCUGGGAGCUUGAGGACAGCCUUGUCUACAUAGUAAGUUCCAGAACAUCCAGGGCUACACAGAGAAACCAUGCCUUGGAAAAGACACAGACAGGGGAAAGGGGUGGGGUGGGAUAUUUAUUUAUUUUGAAAGAUUUUGUUUUUAAUUUUAAUUAUAUGUAUGUGUAUAUCUUAUGUAAUGCCAUAUGGUAGGACCCAAAGACCUCUCAGCUAUAGAGUCUAUAGUGAGCCUCAUCUGGAGAGAAACACUUCUCACAAAGCAGUCUUGCCUUGAAUGCACUUUACAGGGAGCCAAAGAACACAGAAAAACCAUUUCCAGGUUGGCAGUUUCAGGGGGAGGUAAGGCAAGCAAGCAGUUUAACAGAAGCCAAAACCACACUGUUACCUGAGCACUUUGACGUCACAUUUCCAGAACAGGGCUGGGCACUUUUCCAUGGUACUUUUCACAGCAAGAGUAGAAGUGAGGAUCAAUUUCUGGUUAAACCAAAAAUGGCUCCAGCAGAAGCAAGAUGGAGGGAACUGUCCUAUCACAAUUAAAUACUACAAGCAAAAGCAACUUGGGGAGGAAAGGGAUUAUUUUAGCCUAUGCCCCUUAAGUCAUACUACAUCACUGAGAAAAGUUAGGGUAGAAACUCCAGGCAGGAACCUGGAGGCAGAAACUGAUACAGAGGCCACAGAGGGGUGCUGCUUAUUGACUUGCUCCCUAUGUCUUGCUCAGCCUGCUUUCUGAUAGAACCCAGGAUCACCAGCCCACAGCUCACAGUGAGCUGGUUCCUUCUACAUCAAUCAGCAAUCAAAAAGAUGACUUACAGGCUUGCCCACAGCAUUCUCCUGUAGCCAUCCCCCCACCAUGUGCCUGUGCAUUCGAGUGAUAGUGUGUGCACAUGAGUGUGUUUGUGUGUGUGUGUGUGUGCGCGCGCGCGUGCCCGUGCGCUCGUGAAUGCAUGCGUGCACACAGGUGCAUGUGGAGUCCAGGAGAGGUUGUCAGAACCCUGGAAACUAACGUUACAGAUGGUUGUGAUCAACCCAAUAUGGGUGCUGAGAACUGAACUCCGGUCCUUAGCAAGAGCACUAAGGACUCUAAACUGCUGAGCCGUCUCUGCAACCUCUUACAUGUUUUAUUUUCAUGUGUCAGAGUAUGUAUUCCAUGUGCUUGUGGGUGCCCAUGGAGACCAGACGUGGGCCUCUGAUCCAUUGGAUCCCAGUUCUCUGAGGCAUGGCAAUUGCAUGCUCAGAGUAUACGGGGAGAUAGCACCCCCAAAACCUUGCAGGAUUGAAAACCAAAGAGAGUAGGAAAAAAGCCCAAAGCUGAUUUUCAAAGGGAAAUUUAGCUCAUUGUUGGAGACAGACUAGUGGUAAAGGAUUCAAAUGGUGACCCAGGCACUUCUUGGCUGUGUGAUCACAGGGUCAGCCCCGAAGUCUCUGUGACUUCUUUUCCUCUUCUUUGUAGCUGAGAUGAUAAUGGCUUUCCUAUUAGGGUGCCUGGGGACCAGCUGGUUAAAAUCCACAAAGCUCGAAACAAUGCAAGACUUGGGGAGGGCUGGAUAUGGCUGGGCUCCUCUGUUUUAUGUUAGUAUUGUUCAGAAGGAAGCAGUAUUGUUUGUUACUGAUGGCAGCAGCCGUGAAAAUAGGUAUAGUGGAAACACCGAGGAAACACAUGUGGCCUGCAGAGGGCUCUAAGCCAGGGACCUGUGGUCUUUGUUUCUGAGGGUGAAGUCACAAGGAUAUUCACAGGACAGAAGCAGAGUCUUGCCUCGCCUUGAGGCAGCUCUAAAGGGCAUGAAGAGCAAUGAUUUCUCUGGGAACCACUGGGCUAUCUUGUCUCAAAGCGCAUUCUUCAGGAGAACCUGAAUGAUAUCAGGGGUAGGGGCAGUCAAUAAUGACAGAUUGUCCCCCUUGCCGGGACAAUCAAGAACUGGGUUUGUACCACUUGCUAGCCAUGCAUCUCGGGCUGAUUUCUCCACCUUUCUGGAUCUCAAAUGGUUGCCUCAAGAUGAGGUCAACCAAAUGUUCUUCCUGGGAUGCUUUGGAGAGAAUGAAGUGAUAAGGUUGACACACCGUCCUGAUAUAUGCCUAAGUGUGGUGUCACUAUUGGUGAGUCAGGGAAGCUUCAAGGCUGUGUGGAGACAGAAUGAGGCAGAAUAGAAGGGAAGGGUGGGCCUGAAGGCAGUGGGAUUUUUUUUAAUUGGAUAUUUUUUAUUUACAUUUCAAAUGUUAUCCCCCUUCCUGGUUUGAAGGCAGUGUUUUGAGGGGUAGCUUACGGGUGUCCUUUGGCAAGCUUGCUCUCCAUGGGCAGCUGGAGUUCACAUAUGAUCUUGCCGCUUGCAAAGGCUAGGGGAGCCUGUUGGAGGGGGCUGGGAGCCUGUAAUCAUGGCCAGGAGAACCUUGGUGGCCCGCUUGCACUGCCGUCAUCGAGGGGCCAGAGAGGCUCCUGUAGAAGCCAGCUAAUAAGCAGGGGAGGUGGCAGAGGUGGACUGUGAGCCCACGCUGGCUGAGCAGAGCAACCAGACGUGACGGGAGGAACGAGGGGCCUGCCCGAGCCUCUCCACAUGCCCGCGUGGCCAAUUUGCUGGUGACCCUGUGCCAAGCUCUUAACCUCAAGGUCUUAGGGUUGCUGUCUGUAAAGUGAUGAGGGCCAGGCUGCCACUGCUGCACUGCAGAAAGUUCCGGAAGAGGAAGCUCAGGGCACAAAGUGGGAGCCAAGGCUCAGGUGUAAAGUAUAGCAUCUUUCUGGCUACAGGGAGUCCUGGGCCUUCCUUUAGUCCCUGGGUAUGGAAUGGCUGGACCCCCAGGAGCUUGUCUUGGGUUGGGGAUGGAUUCUGCUAGAUGCAGAGAGUUUAGUAAUGUAGAAGUGAAGCAUGAAGCAGAGGGGGAGAAUUCCCUGAUCAGACCUCCUAUGUCCUACCGGGUACCUGGGAUGGGUACAGGAGACAUGGAGUCUCAACAACCCGACGUCCAUCACAGCUCCUAUGAUCCUGACCUCUUUGCCCUGGGCACAAAUGUCCCUCUUCCUGGAGCCUCAGUCUCCCUAUCUGUAAGACGGUGGUGGUGGCAGCAUUUGGGAUAAUGACAUCACCGGGUACAUUGUUGGACACUUGCCCUGCUUCCUGAAGAGCUUCAUCCAUGAAAAAUGCUAGUAAUAUCGGCUGUUGUGUGUUGCCAUUGGUCCCUUUGUGUAGUGACAGGACCAGGAGAGUACAGAUUUCACAAAGGCGUAGGGCAGGCCCUGGCCAGGGCGCCAGGAGCCCAAGGGUUAAAUCUCCAUGGAAACAGGCAUGCAUUAUUUACGUAGCCUAAUGAAUAAAACAUUUAUGUGGUAGGCUAAUAAAUUCCCUCACACAAAGCAAAGUAAGCUAUGAUUUAAAUAUUGGCCUCUGCUGGCUGGCUGAGUUAUGGGGGCUGCUCAUGGGGGCUCUCUUGCUUUUAUGCUCCCUUCUACUGGAGGGGGGAAGAGGAGUGCACGGGGGAGGGGAGCAAGAUCUUUCUAGUAAGUGGCUUUUGGAGUCCUUCUAAACAGCUACCCAGUGCUGGGGCUCUGUCCCUCCCAGUAAGGCUGUAUACCCCAAAUGGCUUCCCCAGAGUCAGGGCUGGGAUUGGGUGACAGGUGGAGCUGGUCCCUACCCAGGGGACUGUCUUUUAUAUAGGACAGAGAUGACCAGAGGUGGGGUAGCCUUCUAGGGUCUUCUGAAGCAAUGGAUCACAUCUGUGGGACUUAAGGGCCUUAAAGUUGGGUGUUAGGUAGUGAAGGGACAGAGGCACCUGACACAUCAAGGAAGCCGAGAGGUGACAGAGAUGGGUAGGAACAAAUAGGGGAGCUGAACUCAGCAGGAGAGUAGCAGAGCCUCAGGGAGAGAGGAGUGACUCCCCUCUGGCUUCUGCCUGUCCAAGGCUGUUCCUUGCCUGGGGUCCAGCUCACUGUUUCCUCUCUCAGCCUUCUGCUUCCGUAUGUCUCCCUCCUUAAGGCUGGCAAGCCCCAUUUUCUCUCUCCCCUCCCUCCUUCCCUCUAUCCUUCCUAUAUUUGCCCAGGUUAGACCCUCCUCUAUUCCUCUGUCUCUUUGCAUCUCUGCCUAUCUCUCUUGCUAUCUAUCACCCAUCAGGAACAGGGCCCUUCUGUUCACUCACUCGAGUAUGUGGAUUCCCUGCUGGACUUCUGAGGAAGAAGGAAGGAGCUCCAUUGGGCCUGGGGACCUUGAAUGUUUGUCUGGGGUAUAUUGUGGGUUACAGGUACCCUGGGGAAAGGUACGUAUCAUGACAUCCCUGGGUCCCUUUGGCUUUCUUAGAAUUGCCUUUGGAGGAAUGGAAGCCACAAAGUAGAGUAUGGCCUGGUGACUGGGGGAUCUUUAAGGGGGGAUCACAGCCCUCAACAGAUGCUUCACGGGGAUGAAGCUCACGCCUGCAAUGUGGGGAAACAGAGCAAGGCAGUGAUCCUAGUCGGAAGACUCCAUGUAGACCCCACUCCUGCUGUUAGAGUCCUAGAUAUGGCGUUCUGGGUUGCUGAAGAUGGCAGAAUCUGUCCCACUGGGACCAUAAUCUGAGGCUAUGGGACUUCUGAGUGGCAUCCUUAAGGGCUGCAACGCCCACAGUGGCCUCUGUACUCUCAUGCCUGGCCCCUGUCCUGGGAUGACAGACAGCAAGGUGGUAGGCACCAGUGUCUCUCCUUCAUCUUUCAGAAGUGCUGGCUUGAGCUUGCCCCACACUGGUGGUCUUGGGCAGCGCUGGCUUCUCCCGUGCCAGCAUUCUUUCAGAAACUGCUGGGCCUGUCUUUUGACAUCAUACCUGACACUGUCUUUGAGUUACAACUGCCACAGAUCAGCCCAGACUCAGGAGAGGAAAAUAGAUUCCACCCUGCUAGAAAAAAUGGCAAGCAGGCUUACUGGGGGCCAGGGGGCUCGAAACGCAGCCUUUGGGGGCAAAGGACCCCCUUCCAUCAGUGUCUUGAUGGAAACAAAGCCCCCUCCUUCUCCACAGGCAGAGUAGAAUCAUGGGCUCACAGACUACACCUUCUGGAGUUCAAGUUUCAGUCAGCUCUCACCAGUCGUGGUCCCCAGAGAGAAAGAUCCGGGGACUUGUUGCUGUUCCCACCUCUGUGAACUGGGGCUCAUGGUCGCUGGGGCCAGUGGUGCCGUUUGGAAGGUCCUCCGAGUUGGCGUAUAUGAAUUAGCAUCUCCAGUGUUAGUGUCUCUUCUCCCUUCUCAUCCCCAGCUGUGGUGUGACUUUUCCCCAGAGGCAUGUGAACAGACAUCUGUUUACCUCGGACAGGAUACCAACUACAGACCAAAGACAAGCUUUCACCCGCAUCCAGCUCAGAGAACCCAUGAAUCUGCUGCCCCAGUUUACAGGAGCCUGGGUGGCAGAGACCGCAUCCUCACUUAGUCCACGCCCACCCUAGCAUGAGUGACGCCCCCCAGAAAGCUGCCUCCAGUUCUGGGAUGGAACCUGCCCCAGACAAGCCUAGGAAGCAAAGACGCGUUGAAACCGCAAAUGGGAAGCGGAACUCACACGGAGACAAGCACACUGUCACAGUGGCGGUGCUGACACACUGCCUGAUCCAAACUCAUGAUUCAUAGUGACAUGAAACAAACCAGCCCAAACUAGAAUAAACCAAGCCACGCCCACAGGGCAGAUCGGAAGAUGUUGGUGGGGCGUGGAGUUAUCUUUAAAAGGAAAAGUAAGGAAGAAGUAAAAUGCCCACUGUGGCACUAACUCACAGAUGUUACCUUUCUCCUUACAGAUGUGUUCUGCCUGAUAAGGAAGGAGACUGUAAGAGGGAGCAUAAAUGUUUCCCAAACUUUAGCGGAAUAAAGGUUCUUAGCAGUGAGCUGUGAUCAUCACUGCAAACACACAAGAAGAAAUAAAUGCUCCCCCACCCGUGUGUGUGUGUGUGUGUGUGUGUGUGUGUCCUUACACAAUCUCUGCAAGCACUCUACCACUGAGCUAUAUAGUCCCAGCCUUACUGGUUUUUAAAAUUUGUUUGUUCUCCAUUGUUUGUUUUGUUUUAAGACAAGGAUUUUUGCCCUGUAGCCCAGACAAACUUCCAGGCUGGCCUCUACUUCCUAAGUGCUGAGACCAUAAUAUAUCUUCUAUUGAUUGAUCGAUUGAUUGAUCUAUUUAUUUUCCUACCCACCCAUGCCUUUUUGUGUGAUGUAGACGUGCAUGUGCAUGUGUGUGCAUAUGUCUACAGAGGCCAGAUACCAACACACGGCACCAUCUGCCCCACCCUGCUCCACUUCAACUCAGGCUCUCACUGAACCCGCAACUCACGGGUUCCUCAGAGCUGGCUGGCCGGCCAUCUCUAGGAUCUUCCUGUCUCUCUCCCCAUCCUUGACAGCUCUAGAAUUACACACUUACCACCAUGCCUGGCAUCCAAAUUCAGACCCUCAUACUUGCACAGCAGUCUAGUAACUAAUGGAGCUGUCUCUCCUGCCAUAGCAUACCUUGUGAUGGAAACACGCCAUGACACUUGUGGACUAGUGUGGACAGGAAAAUUAUCAAAAUGGCUGAGCCUCUCUAUAUCGAUUGCCAUCUUAACAGAAAAUACAGAGUGGAAGAGCAUGGUAUGAAAAAUGGCAUAGAUAAAGUUAGAAAAAUCAAUUUAUUCCUAAUGAGAUACAUACAUAUACACAGAUAUAUGUGUAUGUACAUACACAUAUAUGUCACAUGUAUUUGUAUGUACACACAUGUAUGUAUACAUAGUCACACAUAUACAUGAAUAUAUACAUAUGUAUACAUACAUAUGUAUGUAUAUAUCUGUAUAUCAGGCUGAACUAAUAAAUCCUCUUAUCUCGGUCUCCUAAGUGCUAGGAUCACACCCAGAGCUAUAAUUUGCUUCAUGUGCGAUAAUAGCAUGUGACAAUUAAAUAAUUAAAAAUAAAAAUCGGGGCUGGGGAUUUAGCUCAGUGGUAGAGCGCUUACCUAGGAAGCGCAAGGCCCUGGGUUCGGUCUCCAGCUCCGAAAAAAAGAACCAAAAAAAAAAAAAAAUCUAGAAGAAGCUAGCUGUGAUGUCGCCUGUAAGUCAGCUGUGAUAGUGCCUGUAAUCCCAGUAUUGGAGAGGCAGAGGCUAGGGGAUCUCUGUGAGUUCUAAGCCAGCCUGGUUUCUAUGGUAAGUUUCAGACCAGCAUCAUACAGUCAGAUCCUGUUUCAGAAACCAAAACUGUAAGAGGCGUGGCUGGUAGGACACUGGGUUUUGAUUCAGAGUCACGUAGAAAUAGGAGGGGGAAAUUACCUAUAGAGUAAGACCCAAGACCCUCAGAGCUGGUGACAGGGCUGGCUCAUGGCCAACCCUGGGGAGUUGUCUGCCUUUGUGUUAUUUGGGGGUAGUAACACUUUUUCUCUUCCUUCCCUCCUUCCUUCCCUCCCUUUUUUCUUCUUUGGUUUGUGUCAUGGUGUGAGCAUGUAUGUGUAUGCACAGGUGUGUACACAUGUGGAUGGAGGCCAGAGGUCAGCAUCAGGUAUCUGCCUCGAUCCUUUUUUGCCCCGACCCACAGGGCAGUCAGCGGAGGUUGGAGACCACCUAGGAGAGAAUGGAGGACAAGAGACUCGAAGAAGGAUGCCAAGACAUGAGUCUGAUCAAGAUUCCUGCCCUGACUUCCUCUAAGGACUGAUGGACUGUGGCUUGGACAUACAGGAGCCUAACAUAACUGUCCUCUGAGAGGCUCCACCCAGCAGCUGCCUGAAACAGAUGCAGAGGCCCAGAGCCAAACAUUGGAGGAAGAUCGGGGAGUCUUAUGCAAGAGUUGGAGGAAGAAUCAAAGGCCCUGGAGGGGAUAGGAACUCCACAGGAAGACCAACCUGGACAGACUCUGGGGCUCUCAGAGACCGAACCACCAAACAAAGAGCAUACACAGGCUGGACCUGGGUCUCCCCUCACAUAUGUAUCGGAUGUGCAGCUCAGGCUUCAUGUGGGUCCCAAACAACUGCGAGCUGGGGCUGUCCCUAAAGCUGUUGCUCUCUGCGGAUCCCAUUCUCCUAACUGGGCUGCCUGUCUGGGUCCAGUAGGAGAGGCUGCACCUAGCCCUACAGAGCUUUGAUGAACAGGGUAGGGGGAAACCCAGAGGGACCUCUACUCUUCCAGAGGAGAAGGGUAGGGGGGAAUGGGUGAGGGACUGUGUGAGGUGGGUACCAGGAGGAGGGACAGCAGUGAUCAGGAUGUAAAGUGAAUGAAUGAAUGAAUGAAUGAAUGAAUGAAUAAAUAAAUAAAUAAAUAAAUAAAUAAAUAAACGGGGUCCCUCAUGCUUUUGCAGCAAACACUCCUAA